rnacentral:lncRNA from 1 species
AGAGAGGCUCCAGAGCGCCCUGCAGAUGGGUUGCUUUUCGCGUGCCCCUUGUGAUGGGAGGAUUAGGUCGCAGGCUCCACCCUACGUCAUCCUCCCAAGCUUCUCAAGCGUCUGGCGCUUGGGGUCACUGCCCUCAAGGAGGCACCUGGAGGGGGGGAUGGCGUCCACUCCGAUGGGGAAUGAGGGGGAGAAGAAGAGCAGCUGGCCAUCUCAAGCUGCACCCUCCUUGAGAGGAGGUCCGGCUUCGUUAUCUCGUUCUGAGGAAUACCUGUCCCAGAUCAGUGCAGAACUCAUGGAGGAGGCUUUGUGCACUGCUUGCUGCCACUUGAACCCUGUGCCCAUCAAAAAAAAGCAGUCACAAGACCAAGCGACUCAGAUAUCCAAACGCGCAUUCUUCACCAAGACCUGAGGCACAGACACCUGGUGAGUGAGGCUUCAAGGGAGAUGCUCUUUGUCCUGGGAGAGAGAACAUGCCUCAAAACUACUCUUUUGCCACUCGUUAACCACUUCCGUUUGUGGGGACCUCCUGGUCAUGAGCAGCAUCAUCCCGAAGCCUUCAAAGUGUUCUGGAUUCAUCACAGGACCCUCCAGCCUCAGCCAGCAAGGAUACCACCAGGAAUGAAAGUGCUUUAAUAAAGAGACAGGGUGUGCA